AUCUUCAGGGCAGGGUGAGAUUCCCGACCGGCGGUAUAGUCCGCGAACGCUUGCAAAAGCGCCGAACCGGUUUGAUUCCGGUACCGACAGUAUAGUCUGGAUGGAAGAAGACG
rnacentral:ncRNA from 1 species